GAUGAACGCUGGCGGCGUGCUUAACACAUGCAAGUCGAACGGGAUCCAAGGGGUGCUUGCACUUUUUGGUGAGAGUGGCGAACGGGUGAGUAACACGUGAGUAACCUGUCCUUUUCUUUGGGAUAAGCAUUCGAAAGGGUGUUUAAUACCUUAUGUUCUGUCUGCCUCGCAUGGGGUGGGUGGGAAAGGCUUUGGCCGGAUUUGGGUGGGCUCGCGGUCUAUCAGCUUGUUGGUGGGGUGAUGGCUUACCAAGGCUUUGACGGGUAGCCGGCCUGAGAGGGUGGUCGGUCACAUGGGGACUGAGAUACGGCCCAGACUCCUGCGGGAGGCAGCAGUGGGGGAUAUUGCACAAUGGGCGAAAGCCUGAUGCAGCGACGCCGCGUGGGGGAUGAAGGCCUGCGGGUUGUAAACUUCUUUUGCUCUGAACAAGGCAUGCCAGUGGGUGUGUUGAGUGUAGGGGUUGAUUAGCGCCGGCUAACUACGUG
rnacentral:rRNA from 1 species